rnacentral:sRNA from 1 species
CCACAUACAAAGAUGUUGUGUCCGCCAAUAACUAAAAAAUAAAUAUUAAAAAAUUCUCUCUCUCUCUUUAAAAAAAAAAAAAGAGAGAAUUUUAAUAUUUUUUUUUUUAGUUUUUUCGGCGGACACAACACUUUGUUUGUAUGUGGUGCUGAGGAUCGAACCCGGGCGCUACCGCUU